CCAAGUCGACGGUAGUAUUAUCUUCGGAUAUAUGAGAGUGGCGAACGGGAGAGUACACGUAAGAAUCUACCUUUAGGACGGGGAUAACUUCUGGAAACGGAUGCUAAUACCCGAUAUGCUGUGGAGUGAAAUGAAUUUCGCCUAAAGAUGAUCUUGCGUCUGAUUAGCUAGAUAGGGUGGUAAUGGCGCCCUAUGGCGACGAUCAGUAGCUGGUCUGAGAGGAUGGACAGCCACAUUGGGACUGAGACACGGCCCAAACUCCUACGGGAGGCAGCAGUGGGGAAUUUUCCGCAAUGGGCGAAAGCCUGACGGAGCGACGCUGCGUGAAGGAUGACGGCCUGAGGGUUGUAAACUUCUUUUCUCGAAGAACAAUCAAUGACGGUAUUCGAGGAAUAAGCAUCGGCUAACUCUGUGCCAGCAGCCGCGGUAAGACAGAGGAUGCAAGUGUUAUUCGGAUUGAUCGGGCGUAAAGCGUCUGUAGGCGGUUUAGAAAGUCUUUAGUGAAAUACUUCAGCUCAACUGGGGCUCCGCACCAGAAACUUCUAGACCUUCGAGGGACGUAGAGGUACAGGGAAUUUCCGGUGCAGCGGUGAAAUGCGUAGAUCUCGGAAGGACACAAUAUGGCGAGGCACUGUCCGGG
rnacentral:rRNA from 1 species